rnacentral:rRNA from 1 species
UACAGAGGGUGCUAGCGUUGUUCGGAAUUAUUGGGCGUAAAGGGCGCGUAGGCGGUUUCGUGUGUCGGGUGUGAAAUCCCACCUCUUAAAGGUGGAAUUGCAUUCGAAGCUACGAAACUGGAGUGUCGGAGAGGAUGGCGGAAUUCCUGGUGUAGAGGUGAAAUUCGUAGAUAUCAGGAGGAACACCGGUGGCGAAGGCGGCCAUCUGGACGACAACUGACGCUGAGGCGCGAAAGCGUGGGGAUCAAACAG